CAUUGGGCCUCUGUCUCUUUAAAAAAUCCUGCUCUAUCUGAAACUUUGCCUUCAGGAAGUCAUCAAACAUAGCUCCCCUGUUAAUCCUAUAACGGUGUUUUUUGUUGUUUUUUUUUACCAGUGUUGCUCUGAGACAUGGCUCCUAUAAUGAGCUCAGCAGAUGAGCUUUUCCACCAGGAAUUUGCUAAUUACUUCUGGCUAGUCUGAAGGAGCUGAGCGGGUAAGAUGCAGCAGAAGGGGGCUCUGUGAGGCCAAAGCUUGGAAACUGUUGCUCCCAAGUGUUUUGUACGGCUGAGUGGUUGCCUUGGAGAUUAAAAGAUUUCUCAAACAUGCAUAAAAUAGUCAAAACAACACUCCCGGUAUGGUUUUGAUGAGGGAACAUCAUUAUAACAUGAUGUAAAGCUCAAAAACAUUAUUUUACUUCCACUUUUGAGACAUUAAAAUUGCAAAGUGAUUCUUUAGGAAAAGUGUUAUGCUUGCAUGAAGGUAUUGAAUUGUCAGAUGAUCAUAACCAGGAACCAGCAGCUCACUCUGUCCUUCCAUGCAUGCUCCCUCUGCGUCUUCUGAGUAUAACAUACCUGAUGACAAACAUAAGUCCACUUUGGUGUAUUGUUAGCCAAUUACAUUGACUUGUCAUGGUGAAUCUUCCAGUAGCUGAUGAAUAUUAGAUGGAAACAGAUAAUAAAUUGACUGAGGAGGCCUCCCCCUACCAAUGCUUCACUCAGCAGUGAAGCAUUGCCCACUGAGACUACAUCCAAGCUGCUGAAAGAUUUUCUCACAAUUGUGCGCAUGGUGCAGCAUAAUUGUAAGUGGAUUUCAUGCAACUCUGAGAGUAAAAAAAUAAAACAAGUGUGUAGUUGUCUACAAUUUUGUAUCUGUGUGCCAGAAAGAAAGAACAGCAGAGGAAGGUUUUUUUUUUCCUCUGUCCAUAUCUGCAAAACUUCAGCUGGAUUUUACAGCAGUUGCCUCUUCAUCAUGAACAGAACUGGAUUGUGUUUUAAAGCAGUAGCUGAAAAAUGGGGAUUUCAGGGCUUACACCUUCUGCGUGUGAGCAAGGCAUGUUAUGGAGGGGAGAAAAAAGCUGGCAUUUACAUGACUCAGGAAUAUGAUCCAGGCAUGUUUAAGCCAGCUCUGUAAGCACACAUGUAAUGGAGUAAACCAGGAUGAAUAGCUGAAUUCAUUAUGGAAUUACUUAGCUUAUGUUUAUUCAUUAAUGGUUCAGAAAAUCCUGUUCUGACUUUUAGAUUCAUAUAGUCACAGUCUGUGGUGUAGAAAGUAAACAACUCUAAUAACCAGUUAUCUUUUUCCAGAGUUUAAUGUGAAACAGGAAACCUUCUGAAAAUGCAAAUAAACUCUACACUGUAAAAAAAGUCAGUAAAUUUAAAUCAAGCUUCUGCUAUUUUUGCACGUUGAGGAGGAGGAGAAGGAAACACAUCUCUGCAUCACAGGUGAGCUCCUUUCACAGUUUUAACUGAAGUUAGCUAACUUUAACCAACUGAUAAAGAAAUGUGUAAUUUCUGAGCCAUGCUGUUUAUGUACAUGCACUGCAGCUAGACAUUUCUGCUAUAUGGAACAUUUAAUUUUCCCAGAUGCAACACUUCCAUUAAUGUUUCUGUAGGAACGACUGCAUAUAUUAUAUUUCUGGUCUACUUUAGACUGCAUGUGCUUAAAGUUAUUGUUAAUGGCAGAAGCAACUUUUUCAAGUUUGGUUCAGUAAUUCAUUUGAAUUACUUUGUGAAAUGUUCAUGCAUACAAGUUAAAUCUGUGAAGAACACGUUAGCUUUUGUUUCAAUACUUUGGUAAUACUUGGAAGUAUAAAGCUUGGCAUCAGAGCUAAUAUUUAAUAUUUUCCUUUGAUCUCUUGACUCUCACCCCCAAAAUACUUGCACUAAAGUCACUGGGUCCAUGACAGUUGAAGGGUUUUAAGAUAAGGAAAUUUAAAUAUUAAUAUUUUACAGUUUUUCUCAGUUUGGGUGCAUUUCUCAGAACAGAAUUGAAAUUCUUAAAACUACCUGUUCAAUCUUCAAAUUACUGUGUCACUUCUGCACAUCAAAAAAUGAGUUUCUCAUUCCUUUUGCAAGUUUUGCUUUUGUACAUCAUGUAGCUGAUUAUGUGCACUUCUCUGCUUUCCCCUCCGUUGUAAUUUGCUUUCAUCGUGUUGAUCAAAAUAUGUUAAACGUGUCUGUGUUGAAUUCUCAACUUCCAAAACAGCACAAGUUCAUUGUGUAAGUCUUAACAUGUAUAAGUCUUAAAGUUGUCAUAAUGUCAAUCAUAUUUUAAUUAAUGAUUCCAAGGGAGUCCUGAGUUUCUCUAACAGGUCAAUGUAUGAACCAUUAGCUCAACCAACGAUCAAUCAGUUUUCUGAAACAGAUUGAAAGUGCAUCUUGUGAACCAUCAGUUGGCAACAAUAUGGUCUAUAUARCCAGAACACAACACAAUGUUACAUUUCUGAGAACUGAUGAACAAGUAUCUGGACAGAGUGAACAGCCAGAGAGAAGAAGAGGAGUGAGGCUGAGGAGGAAACAGUUGGGAGGGAAGCAGAAGAAGAGUCAGAAGAGGCUGAGGACAUCUGCCAGUUUCCAUCAGUCCAACAUCAGGAUAUGGCUGCAACCCACAACAUGAUGCUGAUAUAGGUUCUCCCACCCUACUGUUCAUUCCUUAACCCCACUGAGGAAUCUUUGUCAGCAUGACGAUGGAAAUUAAAAUAAAUGUAAUGCAAUUACUGUAUGUAAUUUCUACAGCACUGUACAGUUUUCCAUGAGGAGAUUGUCCUGUGGUUCCUUUUCUGCUUUUUUUGUUCUCUGCAUUUCUGUCUUUUUCUUUCUGAAUCACAUGGUCCAUCAAUAAAUUACAGCAAAAGCAUAAAUGUGAAUUUUGUAGUCUCUUCCCAUGACUAAUCAAUUCUUAUCGUAAGUCUUAUCUGUACAUAAAGAAACUAUAACUUAUUAUUUUGAGUCACUGAUAUGUUAACUGACAGAAUUUUAAGAGCUGAACUAAGGAAUUUUCAAGCAAAUAAAUUCUAUUUUUGCUGUUUCUGCAAAUUGUUUCGAGAAAUGCGCUUACUGUUACUGAGAAAUGCACCAAAAGUGACUAACUAACAUAGAAAAACUAACAUAGCAUAAAUCGUCUCAGGUGUAUCUAUUUGUUUGCCUGUAUGAAAAGUGUACACAUUUCCAGCUUUGUUUCUGCUAGCUUGCAGGAAUAGUAACUUACAUAAAUGGUUGAAGACAACUUAUUGGCCUUCAUGAGACUCAGAUAAAUGAGAGGAUCACACCUGUCGACAACAAACAAAGGUUUAAGAACUACUGAAUUUUCAGUCAGAAAUGAUCACACUGCCUGGUUGAAGUACCAGUCUCCAUAUGCAAGUCAACAAAGCAGAGAGGAAACACCUGAUUGACAGCAUGCGAGUCUCAAUUUCAACCUGUGACUGGGAAGACCACAACCAUCCUGAGCAAAGUCUGAACUCAUUGACUUGUGACUCUCAACCCAGAGCAAGAAUCCUUUUAUCACCGAUUUUUCUUCUACAAUAGGUUAUGUCUUAUGUGGACACAUGCUGUUUUUUUGUUUGUUUGUUUUGUUUUCUAGAUCUCAGUAUAUACCGUGAGGAAACAGGACAGAAAAUAGAAUUGUUUUUUUUUUAACUAAAUUUUUAAAUAGAAAUUGUUUCUUUAA